rnacentral:rRNA from 1 species
CAAGCGUUAUCCGGAAUUAUUGGGCGUAAAGCGUCCGCAGGCGGUUUUUCAAGUGUGAUAUUAAAGUCGGCAGCUCAACUGUCGUUUGGUGUCGCAAACUGUUAAACUAGAGGCUUAGAGAGGUGCGUGGAAUUCUGCAUGUAGGGGUAAAAUCCGUAGAUAUGCAGAGGAACACCAAAAGCGAAGGCAGCGCACUGGAUAUGUACUGACGCUCAUGGACGAAAGCGUGGGUAGCGAACAGGAUUAGAUACCCUGGUAGUCCACGCCGUAAACGAUGACAACUAGCCGUUGGGCAGAUUUAACUGUUCAGUGGCACAGCUAACGCAUUAAGUUCUCCGCCUGGGGAGUACGGCCGCAAGGCUAAAACUCAAAUGAAUUGACGGGGGCCCGCACAAGUGGUGGAGCAUGUGGUUUAAUUCGAUGCAACGCGAAAAACCUUACCUACCCUUGAAAUCCAGCGAAGUUUUCAGAGAUGAAAAUGUGCCUUCGGGAACGCUGUGACAGGUGUUGCAUGGCUGUCGUCAGCUCGUGUCGUGAGAUGUAUGGUUAAGUCCAGUAACGAGCGCAACCCCUAUCCUUAUUUGCCAGCGCGUUAAGGCGGGAACUAUAGGGAGACUGCCGGGUGAAACCCGGAGGAAGGCGGGGACGAGGUCAAGUCAUCAUGGCCCUUAUGGAUUGGGCUACACACGUGCUACAAUGGGAAGUACAGAGGGAUGCGAAAGCGCGAGCUGGAGCCAAACCCUUAAAACUUUUCUUAGUCCGGAUUGGAGUCUGCAACUCGACUCCAUGAAGUCGGAAUCACUAGUAAUCGCGAAUCAGAAUGUCGCGGUGAAUACGUUCUCGGGCCUUGUACACACCGCCCGUCACAUCAUGGAAGUGGGUUGCACCAGAAGUGGUUAGUCUAACCUUCGGGAAGACGAUCACCACGGUGUGAUUCAUGACUGGGAUGAAGUCGUAACAAGGUAGCCCUAGGGGAACCUGGGGCUG